AAGAAAGAAACUUUGUUCUUCAAGCUUUAGCAUUCGGCCAUCUUAGGGAUUUCAAUUCAAGGUUAGUUUGAUUUUAGUUUUUGAUAAUUUUUACGUUUUUGUGAUCGUUGCUUUGAAUACUUCAAAACCCAUGUCUUAAUUUUGUGAAUUGUUGAUGAUUUGAGAAAUGCCAUUGAUGAAUGCUUGAGCUUGUGAUAGCUGAUGAUGAAAUAUGAAAUAUAUGUGAAAGAUUAACAUGCUUUUUGUCUUUGAAUUUUUGAUGAAUUUGAGUAAUUGGGGUUAAGUUGUAAAAAUAAAAUUUUUGAGGGACUAAAAUGUGAAAUAAAUGAAAUGUGUGGGUUUGUAUGGACACUAGGAAUAUUCGGCCCUUAAGAAGUGUAGUCAAAUUUUGUGUAUCUUGUCUUUUCAGCAAAAAGGACUAAAUUGUGAAAAUGUGAAAUAUUAGGGGUAAAAAUGUAAUUUGCCCAUUUAUGUGUUCUUAGACUAAAUUGAAUGAAAAUAUGUUUAAAUGAGAUUUAUUUGAAUAUGUUUAGAUCAAGAAACCAAGAAAUCGGAUUUAGAUCGGGGGAAAUCAAAGGUAGUUGAGUAGCCGAUUUAUUAGUCGACGAUAUCCGAGGUAAGUUAUUAAGCAUACAUAUUUGUGUCGUUUUAAAUUAUCUUAACAUCUACGUAAUUAUGUUGAAUUGAAUUGAUAUAUAUGUAGUGAUACGAUUUUUGAAAUAUAUCGUAUUGAGUUGUUGACCUCCAACACUAAGUGUGCGAGUAUAAAAAUAAACGAUAAUGAGAUUAGCACUAAGUGUGCGAGUUUAAUUGAAAUGCACUAAGUGUGCGAGUAUAAUGUAAAGCACUAAGUGUGCGAGUUUGAUUAUUAAGCACUAAGUGUGCGUACUUAUUAAAUAUUUUCGAAAGAUUAUUAAUAUCGAGUAUUUGACUUAUCGAGAAAUCAUGAGUAACAAAGUGAGUAAUAAUUAUUUUGGUGGUAUUCAAGAUUAAUUUUUGUAAGUAUCAAACCUAGGUGGUGAUUAUAAUUGGAAUCAUAUUUAUUUAAGAUGAUUCAUUAUAUUUUAUGAUAGUAAAAUGCAUAAUAUACUUGGCCUUGUACUUAAAGUUGAAGAAAUGCUUAUAGUUGUGUUAUUAUAUUGAUUUUUGUUAAAUCAUAGUAUGAAGUGAAUAAUUAUAUUAUGCUAUGGUAAGCUAAAGGUAAGAUGAUUUAGAAGUAUGAAUUGGUUAAAUAUUAUUCUAGAUGUUAAGUUAAAUUGUAGAGUUUAUUUGCUUGUAACUUACUAAGCUAAAUUAGCUUACAAUGUGUUGGAUUAUUGUUUUGAUGUAUAGAUUUUGGUGAUCGCUACGUGUUCGGGGAUCGUCAGCUAAGUUCAUCACACUAUCGGUGUCUCCUUUUGGUAUUUUGCUAAAUUGUUUUCAAGUAUAUGGCAUGUAUAGCAUAGUUAAAAAUGUUGAUUUUGAAACCAAUGUGUUAGUGUAAUUAAAAGCCAUGCGAAAAUGGCUUAUCUCUUUUUAUUUGAAUUUGAUUUUGAUACAUAUAGUUAAUGGACAACUUGGGGUAUAUGCUUAUGUAUCAUGUGCAUGAUUAAUUAGAUUUAGAUAAUGUAUAUUUUUGGCUUAGAUAUAAGUUCAAUAAUUAUUUUCUUUUUAAAGAUGUGAUGACCGAUUGUGUGGUACAGGUUUGAUUUAGUGUAUGCAUAUUAAGCAUGUAAAUUAGGUACAAAAUUAAAGGUUAAUAGUGUAUAAUAUGGUGCAAGUUGUCAAGGUCAUAUGAGCACAUAACGGUAGUGAGAAAGUAGGUACAUUUUUGUGUUAUAAUUUGAUGUAUAAUGCUAUUCAAUUAAAGCAAUUUAAAGCUGCCAAAUUUGAUGUCCAUUUUGAGUAUAUUGAUGCUGUCCAUUUUAAUGUAUAAUGCUGUCCAAUUUUGAAUGUAUUGAUGUUGUCCAUUUUAAUGUAUAAUGCUGUCCAAUUUUGAGUGUACUAAUGCUGUCCAUUUUAAUGUAUGAUGCUGUCCAAUUUUGAGUGUAUUGAUGCUGUCCAUUUUAAUGUAUAAUGCUGUCCGAUUAUGAGUAUAUUUAAGCUGUCUAAUUUGAUGUAUAAUGCUGUCCAAUUUUGAGUAUAUUUAAGCUGUCUAAUUUGAUGUAUAAUGCUGUCCAUUUUGAGCAGAUUAUUGCUGUCCAAUUUGUUGAAUAAUUGCUGUCCAAAACAGGGUUGGUUCUUUAUGGCUGUAGUAUGUUACAUAGUUAAUCAUUUAUUAAUGAAAUAAAUGUAUGCAAAUAGUAGUUUUAAUAUUGGCUCGGCAUAUGAUAUGUAAUGAUAAAUGUUAAUUCUUAAAAUGUUUUAAGUGUUUGAAUGAUAUAAAAUUAUUAAUUAAUAAAGCAUGAUUGAUACUUAGUGUGGAUUGUUAAUUACUUAUAUUUUUGGCGAAUAAAUUGUUUUUGAUAAUUAGGUGAAAUAAAUUAGGAUCUUAAAUAUAUAUAUUUACAUAUUCAAGACACAUAUUUAUAUACAGCUUGAUAUUUGGUUCAUUCUGUUAAGUGUAAUGUUUCAAUAUUUAGUAUCACUCCUUAAUCCUAAUCCGACGACGGAUAUGGGUUAGGGGUAUUACAAGACUUUAGCAUGACUUUUCAUAUGCAGUUUGAUAGGUAGUCUAUGUGGGUUAUACAGAUCCUUGAGGAUAUGCUGAGGGGUUGUGUAAUCGAUUUUUGUGGUAGUUGGGAGGAACAUUUAUCGCUAUUAGAGUUUGUGUAUAAUAAUAACUUUCAAUUGAGCAUUCAGAUGGCACCCUAUGAGGCACUGUAUGGUUGAUAACUCUUGAAAAGAGUUAUAUUUCAGGCCUCGAAACUGAAGUAUUUGCUUGUAAUUAAGAAAAUAUGUUUGUAUUUUAGACUUAUUACUAGAGACUUACGUACUAAAGCUUGGAUUGUAUUUUAACUGUAAAUUUAUGUUACUUUUAAUUACUGAAAAGAGGUUUGGUAGUCUUUGGUAGUAGGUGCAGGUAAGAUGAAAUAGGCAAGAAGAAGGAAAAGAGGAAGAAGGAAAAGAGAACGAAGGAGGUGAAAGAUUGCCAUGACAAAUGGUGGGAUAGAUUGCCAACAGAAAUGCCAUGGAAAUUCUAAGAAGAUGAUGUAGCACUCAAUCCACAUCACUCUCAGCCAACUUUAAGUGUACUAGAUAAAUUACCCUAAAAAAGAGGAGCAAAAUAUGUGUGAUGAGAGGGCCAGAUCUACCCUAUAAAAGGAGAGAGAAGAGAAGAAAAGAGAUACUGAUUGUGAGGAGAAAAGAAAAAGAAAGAGAGCGGUUACUCUCUCUGAAAUAAAAUUGUAUGGAAAAACUGUGUGGAAAAUUCAGAAGAGAAGAAGGGGGUAAAAGCUAAAAAGAGGAG
rnacentral:lncRNA from 1 species